AUUUGGUGAAGGUAGGGUGGCGUUCUGCCUCACAAACUUUAAACCCUCUGAGUUUGCAUGUUUCUGCCAAUGUGAUGUUUAACUUGGGGGUUAGUAUGGAUCCCUUAAGGAAUUCCCUAAAAGGCAACCUUAAUUAAUGCUACCAGCUGUAUGGAAAUGUACCUGCCCCUGGCAGUGUAGGGGAAUGAUGCUGAAUGGUGACAACGCUGUCCUUGUCCUCCUGAGCAUAAUAAAUCUUGAUCUUUCCUAUUUCAGCACACGGAGGUGCUGAGCCUGUCUCGUGAUGUAGCCACAUUGCAAUGCAUUUGCUUGCUCACAUGAGUUAUAUCUGUUCCAAUCACUGUCUCAGUAAUCGUCUCAUAGGAAAAGGCAGGAAAAAAGUCCAUUUGCUGAUCACCACCUCGAUGGCUGUCAGAGGUGCCCUGAUUUUUAGAAAGCUGUGCAGAAAGUAACUGAGCCGUUACUUUUGCAGUUGGAAUUACACAGAAAUGAAGGCAGCUGAACUCUGCUGCAGGAGCAGCCCUGCACACCAUCAGCAAACACCAUCAGCUGGUCGCACGUGGCCCUGGGUUUCUGUGGGAUCUGCUGUUUCCAAAGCAUCUCCAGGUUUCCUUUACAUUUCGUCAGCCGUGGUUACUGGAUCCUUCGCCACACGGUGCUGGGCCACGUGAAGGAGCAACUCUAAGGAAAAUGCAACUGCUCUCUGCAUCAUCCUGCUGUAGGAAUGGCACAAGGAACACAUGUAGGCUUUAGGCUUAAGCUCUUCGUCGAGUAGUUAUGUCAAAAGUGGAGAAAGCACAAAAGAAACUUUCCAAAACAAGAGAGGGAAUUAGAAAGGUGUCUCACAGUGAUUUUGUUCUCUUCUUGAAAGCUGUGGAAUCAUCAACUUCAAAAUGAAUCAAGAUUGCUUUUAAUGCAGAGGUCUUUCAGCAAGACUUCAGGUCUGGCAUGACAUGCUCAACGCUGCUCUCCAGGGGAGAUAUCACAACCUCCUGUGGUCCAUCCUGGUAAGGAGCUCACAAAGAUUAAGGAAGGGAGAUGCUUCUUUGUAGAUGGACUUGUGCUGCGUGAGCUAAAUCGGUUAAUAGAUGCUAUGAUAAUUUAUUACAAGCUGUUUGUUUGUUUUUUCCCAUAUGCACAAUAGUAUAUUGUAAAGCAAUUGGUCAUAUCAGAUGAAGUUAUAACAUGACAAGAUGGAUCAUUUAAUAUAUCAAAUGAUACUGCUAUGUGUACUGUUGUAUCCAAAAUAUAUAUUAAAGAAAG
rnacentral:lncRNA from 1 species